GGAUCAUCUGCUGUGGGUGUUCCUGAUCUUUGAGCCAUGAUAAUGUUACUGGUUGGAUGUCAGGAGCAGGCCAUGUGGAUGAUUAAAAGAUGAAUAUCAUAUACAGCAUGGAUAUGUUGGACAAAAAGAUGAUUCACAUCCCAGACAGAAUGGAGCAGCACAUUUAUUAAAAGCCAGAAGCUAGAAGACGAGGAAAGAAGAGGUGGUUAAAGAAAGAUACAGUAACAGCAGUAAUAUCUAACAGGAAGGCUACAGGGGAAAAUACAGAAAUUCCAUAAAGAACAAACACUGUAACUCAAAACCAAAGCUUUGCUAGUCACUAGUGCCCGCUACAUCCUAACAGAUGCAGCUGGAGAGCCUGGGGUGAGAACAUGAGCAGUCUAUAAUCAGAAAAUCCCUUUGGGAUAAAUUGACAAAAAUAUAAACCACUCCACAAAGGAGAAAUUGUAAAUGAGUUGUUAUGUAAAACCUCCCAGCGAAAGAAAUAGUCCAGAAAGCUUGAAGAGAAACUGAAAUUUGAAAAAUCUACCUAAAAAGGUGAUAAAGGAUUUUCAGUUUUGCAAAAAACGCAAUACAGAGUGUCUUUGGAAAGAAAGUUCUCAUAUGGAUUUAAAAUAUGAUUCAAUUUACAGAAGUCAGAGUUGUUCUUCCAGAUGGCAUGAAUCCAACAGUGAAGAAAUCAGAAUACGUUGCUUUUGUGAGGGGCAGCUGCUGAUUUUCUCUGAGCUCCGUUUCCAGCCUUCACAUGCUCUGCUAUUCAUCACAGGGUAAAUUCUGACUAUAGGAGGUACUGACAGAAGAUUAGGGAAGAACAGAGGGCUAAAUGUUUAUUGACUUCUUGAAAAAUGCUAUGUGUCUUGCCAGACUUAGCUUACAAGUUUGGUUAAAGAGAGACUGACAUGAGCAUAAAGGAAGGGACAUUGAAAGAGGCAGAGAUGAAGGAAGAAAUUGUAACUUACUCCUUUUAUCCCACCCAUCAAAGGAAAGACAAGUUGACAUUCCCAGGGUGGAUGGAUCCAGGCAGGACAGGAUCAGAAGUUGCAGUCUUAAUUGCACCAACUCACGCAUGUCACCAGCCGAGUAGUAUUGAUUCUGCAACAAACUGAGAAGAAACCUGGCGAUUCACAACAGAGAGCUGAGAAAUCCUAAGUCUGGAUUCCAGCUAAAUGGGAGCAGACUAAAUAGAGCGGCAGUCGGCGAACUACAUGUAGCCCAUGAACAAAAUCCGGUCCAGCACGUGUGUUUUUUUUUACGGCCCACAAAUGAGUCUGUCUUUACAGAUGAAUGUUAAAACUGGGUUGACAAGAGAGAACACUCACUUUGAACCGCAACUAAACAAAAUAUUAUCACCUUUCCCCUCAAAAAAGGUUUUUGUUCUUCUCAUUAGUAAAUUUGUAUUAUGACAAAA
ensembl:lncRNA LINC02492 long intergenic non-protein coding RNA 2492